AGGCCUGUAGCUCAGCUGGUUAGAGCGCACCCCACUCUUUAUAAAAGAAAGGGGGGGGUGAGGUCGGCAGUUCAAGUCUGCCCAUGCGCA
rfam:Cellvibrio japonicus Teda107, complete genome.